rnacentral:rRNA from 1 species
GUGAGGAAUAUUGGACAAUGGGCGCAAGCCUGAUCCAGCCAUGCCGCGUGCAGGAAGACGCAUCUAUGGUGUGUAAACUGCUUUUGUACGGGAAGAAACACUCCCUCGUGAGGGAGCUUGACGGUACCGUAAGAAUAAGGAUCGGCUAACUCCGUGCCAGCAGCCGCGGUAAUACGGAGGAUCCAAGCGUUAUCCGGAAUCAUUGGGUUUAAAGGGUCCGUAGGCGGUUUAAUAAGUCAGUGGUGAAAGUCCAUCGCUCAACGAUGGAACGGCCAUUGAUACUGUUAGACUUGAAUUACAAGGAAGUAACUAGAAUAUGUAGUGUAGCGGUGAAAUGCUUAGAUAUUACAUGGAAUACCAAUUGCGAAGGCAGGUUACUACUUGUGGAUUGACGCUGAUGGACGAAAGCGUGGGGAGCGAACAGGAUUAGAUACCCUGGUAGUCC